GUGCUCACUUCGGCAGCACAUAUACUAAAAUUGGAACGAUACAGAGAAGAUUAGCAUGGCCCCUGCCCAAGGAUGACACGCAAAUUCAUGAAGCAAUCCACAUUUUG
rnacentral:snRNA from 1 species